AGUAGUCGAAAAAAAGUAAUCAGACAUCAAAUGUACCUUAACAGACCUGCCAACUUUGAACAAGCACUAUAUAUAUCACUUGAGAAGUUAUCUACGAAGAAACGCAAAGUUGAAUUGGAUGUUAAUUUUUUAAGAGAUUGUCAGUCGUUCGAAGUUUUUCCCAAAUUUAUUUGUUUUCCCCUUCCAAAUGUUGAUAACCAAGAUGUCCACGCCAUACGCAAUCGAUUGUUUCUGUCUUCUAUAGUCAAACGAUCAAAAUGAUCUAAAGAAGAAAUCAUCGGAACUUACAACUAUACGAAAUCAAAUCGACUGGUACAUUCUACAAAAGGCUCUAACAAAAAACAUUAAUUCGAUACACUCUCACUUUAAUAAUAUAAAUAAAACUGUAAAUAGAUAGCAUAGUCAUUUGUUGUACUGAAGAUGGCAUAAGAAUGCCGAAAUAUGUUUACUUUAAAAAAUCUUGUCAUCACUUGAAA